AUUGCUCUUCUCAGCAAGUGGGUUUACAAAUUACUCUCUGAGAAUGGGGUAUGGCAGGAAAUCAUUCGCAACAAGUAUGUGGGAUCCAAUGCCAUUUCUCAAGUUCAUUGGAAACCCGGGGAUUGGCAUUUUUGGAGUGGCGUGAUGAAGGCCAAGGAAUUCUUUUUCCAAUUCGGGACCUUCUCGGUUAGGGAUGGUUCUCAGGUUCGCUUCUGGGAAGACACCUGGCUAGGGAACAACCCACUAAUGCUGCAAUAUCCGAGCUUGUACAGGAUUGUCAGACAUAAAUUUGUCACGAUCAAACAAGUUUUAGGACAACAAAACCCUGAUAUUUCUUUCCGUAGGGACCUUCUUGGCCCUCGCCUGGCAGCAUGGAAU
rnacentral:rRNA from 1 species